CGAGGUUCCAGUAGCUGUGAUGAGCCAAGUUCACUGGUGUCAUCUUGUUCCGGGUCGAGGCGAUUAGCUCCACUCUCAGCUCGUUUUCGCCAGACAAGGUCUUUACCUUGCUCGGUGUUGUAGCUGUACAGGAGAAACUCGACAGACGGUGAAGAAGGAUCCUUUGAUGCUACUCGAGACCGCCAGACUCUUUACUUUUGCGAGAUUUGAAGACAAACCGUGUAAGGUGUUGUUAUGAUCGUUGCCUGUCAAGAAGUACGUGGUGCCAUUGAGAGUGAACCUGGCGUCUUUGAUCCGGUUAGCAACCCGGCCGACAAUGGCACCAAAGUAAGGACUUACCAUGUAAGGUUCUAGCGAGUCAAGCCCCAGGACGAUGUCCACAUCCUUUCCUGUAAGUCAGGACAAAACACUUGAGUCCAAAGACGACCAGACUGUCGCGACAGAGAUUGGCACUCUGGACAAGGAAAAGCUUGGAAAAACUAUAGAAAAUAAAUAGAGAAAGCAGGACUGAUUGGAUCAAUCAAUCAUUCACUCCUUGACGCUUGCCUGUU